GCCUAACACAUGCAAGUCGUACGAGAAAUUCCACUUCGGUGGAAGAGUAAAGUGGCGCACGGGUGAGUAACGCGUGGGUAAUUUGCCCUAGAGACCGGGAUAACUCUGCGAAAGCGGGGCUAAUACCGGAUAAGACCACAGCCCGCUUGCGGGAAGCGGUAAAAGCUGGCCUCUACAUGUAAGCUAGUACUCAAGGAUAAGCCCGCGUACCAUUAGUUUGUUGGUAGGGUAACGGCCUACCAAGGCGACGAUGGUUAGCUGGUCUGAGAGGAUGAUCAGCCACACUGGAACUGAGACACGGUCCAGACUCCUACGGGAGGCAGCAGUGGGGAAUCUUGCGCAAUGGGGGAAACCCUGACGCAGCAACGCCGCGUGAGUGAUGAAGGCCUUCGGGUCGUAAAGCUCUGUCAGGUGGGAAGAAAGACCUUGGUGAUAAUACCACCAAGGGUUGACGGUACCACCAGAGGAAGCACCGGCUAACUCCGUGCCAGCAGCCGCGGUAAUACGGAGGGUGCAAGCGUUGUUCGGAUUUAUUGGGCGUAAAGGGCGUGUAGGCGGUCAGAUAAGUCUGGUGUGAAAGUCCUUGGCUCAACCAAGGAAUGUCGCUGGAAACUGUCUGACUUGAGUACGAGAGAGGAGAGUGGAAUUCCCGGUGUAGAGGUGAAAUUCGUAGAUAUCGGGAGGAACACCGGUGGCGAAGGCGGCUCUCUGGCUCGAUACUGACGCUGAGACGCGAAAGCGUGGGGAGCAAACAGGAUUAGAUACCCUGGUAGUCCACGCUGUAAACGUUGGGCACUAGGUGUGGGAGGUAUCAACUCCUUCUGUGCCGAAGCUAACGCAUUAAGUGCCCCGCCUGGGAACUACCGCCGCAAGGCUAAAACUCAAAGGAAUUGACGGGGACCCGCACAAGCGGUGGAGCAUGUGGUUUAAUUCGACGCAACGCGAAGAACCUUACCUGGGUUUGACAUCCCCUGCUAGUCCUGGAAACAGGA
rnacentral:rRNA from 1 species